ACCUCUCUCUCUCUCUCUCACUCACAAAAAUACAUUCUUUCCCAUCAUCCUUAUUUGUUGCCUCUUCGGAAUUCAUUCACAACGCAUCUAUGAUUUUUCUUCUUCCUCCUCCUCCUUUUUCCCCUUCAAUUCACAGCUGAGACUUUUUUUCUUUCUUAUUUCCGUACCCAAUGACUUCUCCUUGAAUUCGACUGUCUCUCUCUCUCUCUCUCCGUCCCCUGUGCUUCGUCAGUGAACAACAAGUGCACUUAAAUUCCCCCACCCCCUCCAUUUUUCUCUCCAAGUGCCUGCAAAUCUGGUGAAUCACGUUGGUUUAUUGUAUUUACGUGGCUUCGCAUACGAUUGUGUAAAAUCAUUGUGUAGUGUUUCUGGAAUGAGUCCUGCUUUACUUCCUAAACAUGUCGCUGCGGUUGUCAAAUACCAAAAAGAUCCCCUUAAAGCACUUGCAAUGUUCAAUUCAGUGAAAAAGGAAGAUGGGUUCAAGCACACAUUAUUGACUUAUAAAUGCAUUAUUGAGAAGCUUGGGUUUCACGCGGAGUUUGAGGCCAUGGAGAGCAUGCUCGCGGAGAUGAGGAUGAAUACCGAUAAUAGUUUACUAGAAGGUGUGUAUAUUGGAGCCAUGAAGAAUUAUGGAAGGAAAGGGAAGGUUCAAGAGGCCGUUGAUGUGUUUGAAAGGAUGGAUUUUUAUGACUGUGUGCCUUCGGUUCAAUCUUAUAAUGCGAUCAUGAAUAUACUUGUUGAGUACAGUUAUUUUAGUCAAGCUCACAAAGUGUAUUUGAGGAUGAAAGAUAAAGGGAUUGUUCCAGAUGUGUACACUUUCACCAUUAGAAUAAAGUCCUUUUGUAGAACAAGUAGGCCUCAUGCUGCACUGAGGCUUCUAGAUAAUAUGGCUUCUCAGGGAUGCGAGUUAAAUGCAAUUGCAUAUUGUACGGUGAUUGCUGGGUUUUAUGAACAGAAUUGUCAAGUUGAGGCAUAUGAAUUGUUUUUACGGAUGCUUGGGCAUGGUAUUUAUCCCGACAUCACCACAUUUAACAAGCUUGUUCAUAUUCUUUGCAAGAAGGGGGAUGUCCAAGAAAGUGAGAUACUUCUCAACAAGGUACUAAAAAGGGGAGUUGUGCCCAAUUUGUUUACAUUCAAUAUCUUCAUUCAGGGGCUCUGCAAGAAAGGUGCGCUUCAUGAGGCUGCCAGAUCAUUGGAUGGUGUGACGAGUGAAGGUCUGACUCCUGAUGUUGUCACGUAUAACACAUUGAUCUGUGGCUUAUGUAAAUACCGUAGGGUUGUGGAAGCUGAGUUUUACCUGCGUAAAAUGGUGAAUGGUGGGUUGCAGCCUGAUGGAUUCACCUACAAUACUAUUAUCGAUGGGUAUUGCAAACUGGGUAUGAUACAAAAUGCAGAUGAGGUUCUCAGUGAUGCAAUUUUCAAGGGGUUUGUGCCUGAUGAAUUUACUUAUUGCUCACUAAUCAAUGGAUUUUUCCAUGAUGGUGAUAUAGACCGUGCCAAUGCUGUAUUUAAUAAGGCAUUGGAUAAAGGAUUGAAACCUAGUAUUGUUCUCUACAAUACCUUAGUCAAAGGGUUGUCUCAGCAUGGACUAAUUUUGCAGGCCUUGCAACUGAUGAAUGAGAUGUCAGAAAAGGGUUGCAAACCCAAUAUAUGGACUUACAACUUAGUUAUCAAUGGGUUGUGCAAGAUGGGGUGUGUCUUAGAUGCCAUUAAUCUUAUGAAUGAUGCUAUUGCUAAAGGCUACAUUCCUGACAUAUUUACCUUUAAUACUUUGAUUGAUGGUUGCAGCAAACAGAUGAAGUUGGAUGAUGCACUUGAGAUAGUAAAUAGAAUGUGGAGUGAGGGUGUUACUUCUGAUGUGAUCACAUAUAAUACUGUGUUGAAUGGACUUUGCAAAGCUGCAAAGUCUAGAGAUGUGAUGGAUACUUUCAAUGCAAUGAUAGAGAAAGGGUGUGUCCCUAACAUAAUUACAUAUAACAUAGUGGUAGAGAGCCUGUGCAAAGCUCGAAAAGUAAGUGAAGCUUUCAACUUACUUGAGGAAAUAAAGAACAAAGGUUUUACUCCAGAUAUUGUUAGUUUUGCAACGUUGCUUAAUGGGUUUUGUUCUAAUGGUGAUUUGGAUGGAGCUUACGAGUUAUUUCAAAUGAUGGAACAAAAAUAUAAAGUUUCCCAUACAACUGCAACAUACAAUAUACUGAUCAAUGCUUUUGCUGAAAAGCUAAAAGUUAAUACGGCAGAAAAGCUUUUCUAUGAGAUGGGUGACCAUGGCUGUGCCCCAGAUUGUUAUACUUAUCGUGUUCUUAUUGAUGGCUUCUGCAAAACGGGGAACAUUGAUUCUGGGUACAAUUUUCUCUUGGAAGAGGUCGAGAAGGGAUUUAUUCCAUCACUGACGACAUUUGGACGGGUACUGAAUUGUCUUGCUAUGGAGCACAGAGUUUGUGAGGCAGUUGGUAUCAUCCACCUUAUGGUGCAGAAAGGCAUUGUCCCUGAGGUUGUAAAUUCAAUUUUUCAGGCUGAUAAAAAGGAGGUGGCAGCCCCAAAGAUUGUUGUAGAAGAUUUGUUGAAGAAAAGUCAUAUAACUUAUUAUGCAUACGAAGUUCUAUAUGAUGGCAUCAGGGAUAAAAAAGUACUUAAGAAGGUUCAAACUAAGCCUUCUCCUGACUUGAGAAUGAGGUCUUUAAAUGUUGAUGGACCAAUAUACUGAUUUAGAAAGCUGUGAGGGAGGGCUCUCCAGUGGCAUCUGGAAGGGUACUGCAGCACACUCGAUGCAGGAAAAAGGAUAUUGGCAUUGAAACUCGGCUAGUCGGAAAUUCAAUCGCGAAUUGACUACCAAGGUGACUCUGCGGUGAAAGGGCAUUAAAUCCAGAAUAUGUUGGCAUCAUGCUUGAUAGAAUAUGAAGGGGACCUUCUGAAAUAUUCAGGAUGCAACAUUACCAUCUCUGGAGCCAGCGAUCGGUAAAAGCUAAAACGGUGAAGACAAUAAUGCAAAUUCAGAAUGUAAGCUAGAAACAGUGAACCUUACAAUCUUCCCAGCGUUUCGAAAAUUAAGUAAUGGAUAUUUCAAUGUAGAGUCACUCUCAAACAUUGGUAUCAUUUCAUCAUAAAGAAGAUUUGAUAAACAUAUUGAAGAUGGUGCAAGGAUUAGGAACAUGAACUCAUUCUCUAAACAUGGAUGCUUACAAGAUCUGAAAAACACAAAACUGAGAAAAAAGAGCGAUAAAGAUUAUACAGACGAGGAAAAUCGAGUGAUCCUCAAUGGAGUGGGGGAUCGUCCAUGAUUAGAGAUCGGUAACAUUUCAUAUCAUG